UAUAGGUCUGGUUAUUACUAUAGGUCUGGUUAUUACUAUAGGUCUGGUUAUUACUAUAGGUCUGGUUAUUACUACUAUAGGUCUGGUUAUUACUAUAGGUCUGGUUAUUACUAUAGGUCUGGUUAUUACUAUAGGUCUGGUUAUUACUACUAUAGGUCUGGUUAUUACUAUAGGUCUGGUUAUUACUACUAUAGGUCUGGUUAUUACUACUAUAGGUCUGGUUAUUACUAUAGGUCUGGUUAUUACUAUAGGUCUGGUUAUUACUAUAGGUCUGGUUAUUACUAUAGGUCUGGUUAUUACUAUAGGUCUGGUUAUUACUAUAGGUCUGGUUAUUACUACUAUAGGUCUGGUUAUUACUACUAUAGGUCUGGUUAUUACUAUAGGUCUGGUUAUUACUAUAGGUCUGGUUAUUACUAUAGGUCUGGGUUAUUACUAUAGGUCUGGUUAUUACUAUAGGUCUGGUUAUUACUACUAUAGGUCUGGUUAUUACUAUAGGUCUGGUUAUUACUAUAGGUCUGGUUAUUACUAUAGGUCUGGUUAUUACUAUAGGUCUGGUUAUUACAUUUUUUCUUUCAGUCACAUGUUUCCAUGAACAGAAACACAGUGGACUAGGUAGAUGAGGCCUUUGGGCUGGAUCAGGCUGCGUGAUUUUAUUCUUCUUUUCAGUGUUAAACACAUUGUUUUUUCUUUGUUUAUGGUCCCUCAGAAGAUUCAUGUGAGCAUUUUCCUACCGAUGGAAUAAAAUUCUGAAACUUUUUUUA